UGUUCGGUUAAGUCCGCUAACGAGCGCAACCCUCGCUGUAUGUUACAUGUGUCAUACAGGACCGCCGGUAUCAAGCCGGAGGAAGGUGGGGAUGACGUCAAGUCCGCAUGGCCUUUAUGUCCGGGGCUACACACACGCUACAAUGGUCGGUACAAUGGGUUGCUAAGCCGCGAGGUGGAGCCAAUCCCCCAAAGCCGGCCUCAGUUCAGAUUGCAGGCUGCAACUCGCCUGCAUGAAGCUGGAGUUGCUAGUAAACGCGCGUCAGCCUAUAGUCGCGUUGAAUAACGUUACUCGGGCCGUUG
rnacentral:rRNA from 1 species